UACGGAGGGGGCUAGCGUUGUUCGGAAUUACUGGGCGUAAAGCGCGCGUAGGCGGAUCUGCAAGUCGGGGGUGAAAUCUCCGAGCUCAACUCGGAAAUGGCAUUGGAAACUACCUUGCUUGAGGGUCGGAGGGGGGACUGGAAUACUUGGUGUAGCAGUGAGAUGCGUAGAUAUCAAGUGGAACACCAGUGGCGAAGGCGAGUCCCUGGACGACUCCUGACACUGAGGCACGAAAGCUAGGGGAGCAAACAGG
rnacentral:rRNA from 1 species